rnacentral:rRNA from 1 species
CAAGAGCGUAUGUAAAAGUUGUUGCAGUUAAAAAGCUCGUAGUUGAACCUUGGGUUUGGUUGGCCGGUCCGCUUUUUUGCGAGUACUGGAUUCAACCGAGCCUUUCCUUCUGGCUAACCAGUCGUUUCGGCGGCUGGCGAACCAGGAUUUUUACUUUGAGGAAAUUAGAGUGUUCAAAGCAGGCAUUAGCUUGAAUAUAUUAGCAUGGAAUAAUAGAAUAGGACGUUAUGGUUCUAUUUUGUUGGUUUCUAGGACCAUCGUAAUGAUUAAUAGGGACGGUCGGGGGCAUCAGUAUUCAGUUGUCAGAGGUGAAAUUCUUGGAUUUACUGAAGACUAACUACUGCGAAAGCAUUUGCCAAGGACGUUUUCAUUAA